GGAGGAAGAAGGUGCGCGUGAGGCAGGCAAGCGGAGACAGACCCAUUGUGACUCCGCCUAUAUGACGCUGCCCCAACCAAUCAAAUUCAGAGCAACUUUGCGAGUGGCCGGCAAGCGGUGAGGUCAGACCAACCGCGUAUAUUGUGACUCUCCCCAUGUGACACGACUCAGCCGACUCAAGUCAGAGCCUUCACCAGUGGAGCAAGAAGGUGCGUACAAGGCGGGCAAGCCUUGUACGCACCUUGUACGAAACACAUCAAUCGCGUGCACAGAACGCUUGCCGCCAGACAAGACGUGGGCAAUUAUGUUUCUUCAAAUACCUUUUUGUGAGUGGCGUGGGCAGGUGCGUGCGAGGCAGCCAAGCGGCAGGGCAGGCUCUCAACCUUUGAUUUGACACAGACCCAGGAAAAGCGGAAUAGUGCCGCAACCGAGGACCACUUCCCGCAGAGACACAUUCUCUGGCCAUCAGAUAAGUAGACGACGGUGUGACGUGCAAGCUAUGGAGGUGAGGGCUGUAAACGGCGGGGUGAGAAGUCUACGCAGAGUCCAUGUACGUUCACAUACAGCGCAGUCAAAAGUUGUUUGCCCAAAGCCAACAGCGAGCACAGCGGCUGUCUUGUCUGCUGUAGACGUGCUGACUAUUGAGGAAUCGGUGCGUGUUUGUGCACUGACUGUACGUUAUUACAGCUGAGCUUCUUCCCCCCAGGGCACUCAGGACUCAACGGGGGAUAAAUAUUCUACGAAAACCUGUUACUAUGCCAUAGAUUAACCACUGGAUUUCUUUUGUCUAACUAGUUUCAACAGAAAUCCACUGAAGCAUGAAACUUUGCUAUUCUUAAGGUACUUGACUUUGUUCUCGUUGAAGUCUUAUUUUGCUUUGUGCAGCAUCUUCAGGCACGUUUCUUUUUUCCGCACAAACGUCCUAUUUUGAUUUCUACGGCAGCCUGUCGCAGCAUCAAUCAAACAAGAUUGGCCAAUGGGAGAAAAAAAAAAAAGUCUUGACGUGCAUUAUGCUAUUAUGGAUGCUCAUUACUUUUCCUUGUUACCGAAUUCCUAAUAAAUCUUCUGAUAUAUGACACAUGAUAUACAUCCAUACAUAAUCCUAAAUAUUCGGACAUUUGCACUGAGCGCAUUCAUCGGAAAUUGUUGAAUUUGAAAUUUGUGUCUCCUGCACGACGACAAUAAAGUUCAUCACUAAAUAUAACCAGUGCAGUCUGAAAAUAUGCGAAUCAUGGUCAUCUGCGUUCAGAUGUUCAGACAGUGUUGCGUGCGUGUGAAAGUCGACAUCUGAAGAUCUGAAGAAUGCGUCCGUCUGCACAAUGCCGCCUCAGUCUGCAGAUCAAUGUAGCGGGGUCAGAGGUCUCGCAUCAUCAACACAAAGCCCUUCCGUUCAUUCCCGCUCGGGAAUCUCGGGUGCAAGAAACAAUCCAGCAAAUCCGUAUAUUCCGACUGAGAAUCUUUUCUUGGCGCUAAAAUUAGCGGGCUCACUUGCUAAGUAGCACCGCCACCCAGUGGUGUUCCGCGACAUUACAGGGUUUGCCUUGUGUUCUGUACGGAGGCACCCUAAAAAAAUGUCACUCAAGUCAAAGCAAAAAGGGGUCCACCAAAUCAUUCAGUCAUCUUCCGUAGCGCUUCUCCUCACGCGGGUCACGGGGGUGCUGGAGCCGAUCCCAGCUGACUCUGGGCGAGAGGCGGGGUAUACCCUGAACUGCUCGCCAGCCAAUCACAGGGCACAUAGAAACAAACAACCAUUCGGACUCACAUUCACACCUACGGGCAAUUUAGAGUCUUCAAUUAACCUAAGUUCAGGGUGUGCCCCGCCUCUCGCCCGCUGUCAGCUGGGAUAGGCGCCAGCACACCCGCGCCCCGCGUGAGGAGAAGCGCUACGGAAAAUGGAUGGAUGCCGAAUCAAUAUUUUGACCCACCAUAUAUCCAUCAUCACUCUGCGAACUGCAAGCCUGUUAAGCUCUGAUCAACCAAUCAGAGGAUGGAAAAAUGCCAACAUUCAUCCUUUUAAGACUUGGCGACGGCCAGGGUUCUUUAAAUCUGAAACCUGAUUGGUAAAAUCCAAAAAAGUUAAAAAAACGGCCAUUGCUAAUAGUGUGUAUGUGUCGUGGGCCAAUGACAUGGCAACCCAUGGCGGUUGAAAUGUGAUUGGACAAAAAAAAUGCCGACUCUCGACUUUUUUCCACAUCACGCCGUGUAUUUGAAGCUCACUCGGAGCUCCAAUUUGGACUCGUGACACAGACACUCCGGUUGGUGACUUGAAAAAUCGUCAUCGUCCCACCCGAGCGGCGGCGG